ACCUGGCUGGCUUAGUCAGUAGAGCAUGUGACUCUUGAUCUCAGGGUUAUGUGUUCGAGUCCCAUGUUAGGUG
rnacentral:tRNA from 1 species